rnacentral:misc_RNA from 1 species
CGCAAAUUGCACUCUUUGGUAUUCCGAAGAGUAUGCCUGUUUGAGUGUCAUGAAAACCUCAACUCCAAGUUUGGUUAAUCCAAGCUUGGAUGUUGGAUGUGGGCGUUUGUCAAUGCCAAGUUGACUCGCCUUAAAAGUGUAAGCUGGAUUAGUCUUUGACUGGUUCCCCUAGGCGUAAUAAGUAUUUCGCUUAGGACAUGAGUUCGCUCGUGGCCAGGACUUGACAAUAGUCUGCUUUCUAUACCCUACACACUUGUGUGUAACUUCUUGACAUCUGGCCUCAAAUCAGGUAGGACUACCCGCUGAACUUAA